UCCAGCAUCACUGGGAAUAAGAGAAGAAAUAUGCAGAUCUUUUACCAUGAAGGGGGAUUUUCUUGGGACUAAUGAAAAUGAAAUGGAGAGCCUUACCACCAAAGAUCUAUGCAGCCUCAUGGCCUUUGGCAGCUGACCCUCUGCAGUCCUCAUCUGGCUUUUUGCACCUCUGCCAUUGUACACCGUGCUCCCCUCCAGACCGUGCACAGUGUUUGCAGCACAAGUGAAGCUGUGAGGACAAUGCAGGCUUGUGUCUCAGCAUCAAGCAGACAGUCUGGAAGAAAGAGAAAACAAAAAUACCAUCCUUGAAAAGGACAGAGGUUUGAGCAUCCCUAUGCCCCAGGAGCCAAGCUGUUUAAAACCUGUGAAGAGUGGAGUGUGGGGCAGAACAUUAUCACCAUGGUUGGGCCGACACAUUCAUCCAGGACAGGCAAAAAUGACUCAUGAGGUUCUAUGACCAAGGAAGAAACAGGACCCAAGAGAAGAUUUGCAAAGUUGUUACUAAAGGUUUUGGGUGACCUCUGUGCAGUCAUGAUGUGGUUCCCCUUCAUCCAGGUUCAAGAUGUUGCUUCUUCUCAAGGGGAUGUUCUCUGCUGCCAGCAACAGCAAUUUGUACUUCUGGAGUCUCUGAAAACUCAACAACUGUGACAAUUUAGUGAACCUCAUUUCAACAUCAUGUGGGAUGUUUACCUUCAAUGGAUGUCCUAAUAUGUCCCAUAUUUUUCUACCAUAAACACUAAUGAGGCUAUUGUUUAAAUAUCUACCCCUGCCCCCUUAAUAAAUGGGUAUAAUUGGCUUAUACAGUAAGCCAUUGGGCAAAUAUACCCUCCAAAGUAUGAGCUUGGUAACACUGAGUGUUUUUAUGUGUGUGCUAUUUGUCAGACUCUGUGGCCAUAUAUUCUUCUACACAUGUGCUCUGAGAAAUCCAUUUGUGCCUCAUCUGCUCAUGUUUCCCAUUCCUCUGUGUUUGACAAGAAAAAGCUGAGAAGGCUUUGGGUUUUCUGCUGUAAUCCUGAGAGCCUCAGAAAGUGACCAGUACAAUAAAUGAAUGUAAUAAAUCUUCUAUUGUAGAAAAUAAACAAAGGCCUACACCCAAAAGAAUAGAUUCUGCUUUGUAACACUAUUGAAAAGUGCUGCAACACUUCAGAAAGUACCCAAAAUGCUUUAAGUUUCCAAAGUUUUUCUUCAUUGGUACUACCAAAACCACCCUUCUGUUAUCAUUUGCCAUAUAAGGUCUUUACAGAAUGAAGUUCAGUAUUUCUAACUGUGUGGUUUGUUUUGUCAGGCGCUGCAUGAAGGAAUGCUUGGGGAGGAACGUUUUCAAGCUCUACUGAUUUUUUACUUUUUGGCAGCAGACUUUUCACUACAGUUUCAUUCUGCUUUGUAGUACCUUCUUCCCCCCUCUCUUUUUCUCCCCCUUCCCUCCCUCCCUCCCCCCCCCAAUAAUCUGUUUCUAAUAAUGAAGAAAAAUAAAAAAAUAAUUGUAUCCCA